GGGGAGGGUAGGCAGGUCGGAGGAGGGAGUUGGGAGGAAAGCGGCGGCGGUGGCGGCUUCAACAGCAGCUCUUGCCCUUAAGGAACAAUGAAACACAAAGAUGGUGCAGACCCAGGCCCUGCUUUGACUGGGAGAAAGAUGCAUUCAGUUGACUAAAACUUGAACAGGGCAGUUUACUUCUAUAGAAGGGUGCACCCUCACAGAUGGACCAAUGUGUCAGGAGAAUUCAGUCACACCCAAAGCAGGAGGUAAUAAGACACCGAAGUGAGGACUUCACAGGCUGCUUGGGAGAAGACAAUCAUCCGUGGGCUUGGGAAAGGGAGAAAUGCCUACUGAGUUUAGGGAAUUGCUUGCUGGAAGAAAUGAUGGCUUGGUGGCAUGCAUGUUUAGUCCCAGCUACACAGCAGGGAGGCUGAGGCUGAAGGAAUACUUGAGCCCAGGAAUUCAAGACUAGCCUGCACAACAUAGUGAGACCCUGACUUUAAAAUAAAUUUAAAAAAAUUAAAAGCAACAAGACUUUCUGCUUGUAUAUGAUGAUGUUAGUAUGCUGACUUACAAGGUUAGAUCAUUUUGAUAUGUGUGAUGUAGGUUUUCAAAGCUGGCACUGUUUUAUGCUUCAAAUAUUAUUUUUAUUCAUUGGUUCUCAUGGGAUUUCAUCACUAAGCUGUAAAUCAAUAAUCAUAAUGUUGAGGGGAGGGGAUUACAAAAUAGCUCUUCAAAAUCAUCUUUGCAUUUCUCAAUAAACAGCAUUCCCUUUUGGACUACAGUGAAAAAUAUUGAGCUUUGUUUACUUUGAAAAUGAGUCUUAGUCUAUGAAUGCCUGGGUAGGGUCAAGAAUGAAAAAUGAGAGGAAGAGAGAAGCAUCAGGAAGAUAAAAUGAUCAAUCUCACAAAACUUGCUAUUUUUAGAAAGCAUCAUUCUAAUUUUGAAACCAAAAAAAUGGGGAAAAACAGAGUAAUGGAAUAAUAGAAUGCCUCAUGUACAAAAGCAACAAUUUCAGAGAUGAUCUAAAACAACUUAUUAGUUAUAGGAAGAAAUAUACCUGAAAAGGGCAAAAAUAAGUUGGGUUUGGCCUCUUGUCACUGAAAUUAUCUACUAAAUCUAACAGCAUCUAUGUUCCUUUAGCUGUUGUGUAUAUUGUACACAAAUGUGAAACCAUAACUCAUAUUUUACCUAUAACAAUUUGCAAUAAAUAACUAAUUA